rnacentral:lncRNA from 1 species
ACUGGCCUUCUUCCAAGCCUGGUGGAUAAGUGUGGAUUGUGGAAGCAUUGUUCCACGAGGCUUCAGGUUCGAAGGCUGGUAUCCGUUGGGAUGGCGACUUUGAUGAAUCAUGUAUCCAUGUAUGUAUGUGCAUGUGUGUGUGUGUGUUUAUAUAUAUAUUUCAACAAUAUGAGGUAUUUCAAAAUACCUCUGUUUUUUUUUUUCAUACAUAUUUGUUUUUCCCGUCUGUUUUAUGGACAUAAUUCCAUCUCUAUAAAACCUAGCUUCUUAAGUCCAAAAACGUGACCUCUAGUUAUACAGCUUUGACUUAUCACUUAUGUAAACUUGCCUUGUCGCAUUUUUUCUCCAUAUAUUUUUUGUCCAUUACCAUCGUGUCAUGUUACUUCUUAAUCCAAUUAUACAUUGUCAUCUUGAGAAAAAUUUGUACAAAAACAAUACUUUAUUGAACAAGAAACGCGAUAUGACAGUAAACUCGUUAAAGAUUGGAAAAUAUCUUUUGAAGAGAACAUUGUUAGGCCCCAAAUCCAAAUAGUCGAUAGACAUUCAUAGAAAAUGUUUUUGCAUAUUAACCACUGGCCUUCCUCCUAGCCUUAUGGAAAGUGCACAAGCAUGAUCCCUGUAGGGUCUGGGUUCGAGGGCAGGUAUCCUGCGAAUUUGAUGUUCUUCAUGGCCCCUCAGAGGAAACAUAUUAUAUCAACAAUAUGAGGUAUUGCAAAAUACCUCUGUUUUUUUAUGUACCUACUAUUUUCUCUCCUCUAUGUAUUUAAUUAACUCUAUAAAUGUUUAUGUAUUUGUUCAUUAUUAGUGAUUUUUUAUUCUUUCUCGAAGUCUAAAUAUUUUUAAGUUAAAAUGUUCAUAAAGAUAAUCUAAAUUUUAUGAGUUAACCCAAAGAGUGGAGAUAAUCUUAUUAAACCAUUUUAUACUUAUUUUUUUUUCAGUGGUAUAACUUAUUAUUGUACUUAGCAUCAAAACAACAACUUCACAUUCUUGUUCAAUAAUUAUUUCGUUUAGAGAUAGAGAAGAUAUAUUGAAUACAAAGAUAUAUACAUGGUAGACGAAGGAAGCUUGGAGGGGUGUUGAGGAAAUGUAAUGCAAUUAUAUACAAAUUAAAAACUGCAAACCAAAGUCUGGAAACAAUUCUAAAUUGUUUUCACUUUCAACUUUUUGUUUCAUAUAUUAUCUUUCAGUUUUCCCUUCCUUCCCCUCACCAUUCUUGCUUCACCCUUCUUCAUAAAUCGAUAGAUUGAUCCAAAUAGAGGACACAAGGACCCGUGUAUGUUUUAUUGAGACAUAAAAUUAGAGUGGAAAAUAUUGAGCACAAAAACAUUAUCUCAUUUCAAAUUAUUUAAAAAGCAGAACAAAAGCAUAUGAGAUUUUUGUUUUUGUUUUUUUUAUUUUUAUUUUUUUUAUCACAUAUAGAUAUGCAUUGGGAAACUUAUUCACCAAAUGUAGCUACAAAUGUCAAAUUAAAAAGGGUUGUUUUAUUAACACCUCACAUUUUGUUGACCACACCCCAUGUACUAAAACAUCCCACAUUUACUUUUUAAAUUAAAAAUUAUCUUAAUCCACCCCACCUAAUUUCCUACACUACCCUUACACCCCACAAGGAAAUAAUAAAGGUUGUUGCUGCCUUGUUGGGAGAUUUAUCCAGUGUUAGAAAGAAUUGCUUCUGUUUGUCGAAUUCGAGGAAAUAAAAGGCGCCUGGCUUCUAGUGUACUGCUAUCUGUAUAAUUUAGCUGUUUUUGUUUGGUUCUUGCUAUAGUCUCUGACUUGACCUCUUACAUUUUUAUCCUAUUUUGCUCUAGGGUUUCAAACUUCAGCUAGCUUUUCUCUUCUUGAAGUCUCUCCUUUCAACCGAAAAAAUGAGAAAUGAAACUCUCAUUUUUAGACAUUCUUAACUGCCAAAUGGAAUCAGUUUCUGAUUCAUAAUUAAUGAUUAUGCAUGUAUCAGCAUCAAUAUAUUUCCUUUACGAAAAAUCUCAUGGGUUCCUUGUAGCAUUUGCGAUUGCGAUCGUGAUUACACCCCCAACUUAUGAAAAUUAUCUUUAAAAAGGUGAAAUCGGAAUUUGCAUAAAAUGUUUUCAAAUUUGAACUCUUUGACUGCAACUCGAAAACAAGAAAAAUCGAUCUCAACAUGUUCUUGAAUUAUUAUUAGGUUUUUCUAUUAAAAGAACUUACGGAGUGUACUAUAUAUUUAAGGCUUAAAUAGUCAUUUUAUAUCAAGAUAUAUGAGUUAUUUAUUAUUAAAUUUUAUGUGGAGUUUAGUCAACAAAAUGUGGAGUGUUAAUAAAAAAACCAAUUAAAAAUGAUAUACAAAUAGAGCAAAAAUUGGCUGGGCCCAAACUCAACUUGUGAGGACUAAGUUGAUUUUUGGGCUUCCAUUUGGACCGGCUUUCUUCUUAGCCUAGUGGUUAAUUGCGGUAAGCAUGAUUCCUCAAGAUUCUGGCUUCGAAGGCUGGUAUUUGCGAUGGUGAUGAUGAUGAAUCGAUGAAUGGAUGAGACGUUGGUAUUUAAAAUAAUUUAUGACCGCACGAUGUACAAUAAACAGAGAGGAUCUUCAUUCCUUUAACCAAAUGAGGUAUUCUAAAAUACCUUUGUUUUUCUAUAUUUUCCACAUGGAAAAUGAUACAAAGGAAUUGUGAAUUUCAUUUACAAAAGAGAAAUUUUAUCUGGACCCAGUUUUUUUCUUUUUAAACCCAACUUUAAUAUUUUGUUACCUAAACUCUCUAGUUUAUCCUCAUAAAUAAUAAACUGGAAAAACAAAAACUCAUCAAGCCUAUUUCUCGACUGUUCUCUCUCCUUCCGGUGGGCUCCUCCCUGUCUUUGUUGGGUCUGUCUCCCUCCUGACUAUUUUUUUUCUUUUUUUGAUAUGAAGGAAAAAAGAGAAGGUCUGGAGUGGUGGUUGAGUGGUGGAGCUGCAUGUGGGUGCUAUCUUGGUUGAAUGGGUGUAGAAAGAUAUUUAAUUUUCAUUUACUUAUUUCAUUGUUACUCAAAUGUUACUCAAAUAUUAAUUAACGUGCUUAUUUCUUAUUGCUAACGUAUCAUUUAGUUUAGAAAUUUAGUCUACCUAGCAUUACUUAUUUUUUAUAUAGUUUUCUUCCCUCUGUUUUAUUUUAUUUCGUUCCAUUUAUUAGGUUAACACCAAUUAUACUAUUUUGCAUUCUAUACUUUAUUUCUUAUGCAAUUGUAUAAUUUAUUUCGUCAAAAUAUAGUUCAAUUUAAGAUUUUGUUAACAUUUUAUUAACUAAGUAUAGCACAUAAAAAUGUGUGUUGUGUUAUUCGGCAACUUUGCUAAAAUAAUACUAUAAAAAAUUUAAAAUUUAAAAUUUUAAUAUUUAUUUUUUAAUAAACUUUAAAAAUAGGCCUUACAAUACGUCAAAUUUAAAUGUAUUAAUAAAAUGUGUAAAAAUAAUGUAUAUUAAAUGUACGAAGUAUGUAUAUACAUGUAUAGUAUGUUGAAGUUUAAAAAAACAUGAUGUAAUUUAACAAAUCAUUAAGAUGUAUACAAAAAAAACAUAAUUAGGUGCCUUUUUUUUUGGUGAAUUUUUUUUCUUUUGUUAAAUGUUUGAGUAAUGCUAGGGAGACAAAAUUUGUAAACUAAAUGACAUGGAGGUUGAUGGUUGAAUUAUCACUUAAACAUUGAUAAACAUAUUCAUUUCUUAUUGGUGAGACAUCAUUUAGUUUGUAAGUUUUGUUUACAAAUUUAAUCUUCCUAACAUUGCUCUAAAUGUUUAUUUACCCUAAUACGCAACUACGAUUAUGGACAAAAUACAUUCAACAUAAAAUAAUAUAUCUUCUUCUUCUUCCUAAGCAAAUAUUGGUUUGGUUAACAGCCUCAAUACACCUUAUGUUCAUAUAUUCGUCUCUCUCUCUCUCUCUCUCUCUCUCUCUCUCUCUCUCUCUCUCUCUCUCUUAUAGCCUAAUUUGGUAUUUAGGGUUAGGUUUGUAUGAAUUUGUAAUUUGAAAUUGUAAUUAAUUAGGGUUUGGUUUUAUGCUUCAUUCUUCAUCUUCUGGAUUUAGGGAAUUCCAUCCAAUUUCCAGUUUGUUGCAUUCAAUUUAUUAGUGUCAAUGGGUAACUCCCCGAGGGCACAAAAGCAGAGAAGAAAAGAAAUACAAGUAUAUGGAUUGGAGUGUUGUCUUGCAUAAUACCCAAUAGUAGGGGAGAUACUUGCUCCACCUUAAUCAAUCGUUCAAUACUUCUAAUACAAUUUCUAUGGGACUAGGGUGAUGAAAUUUGGUUGUGGUGUACUCUUAGUGCGCGGUUGACGUCUUUGUGUUGCGAUUUCUUGUUCAAAUUAAACACUCGGUUGUUUCUUCCAUCGUGACUAUCUUGGUGGUUGAUAGCAAGAUGUUUGUGGCGGCGGCAACGAUGCUCGGUCUUUGAAAGAUAGAAAUUAAAGUUUCUAUUAUUUUUGUUUGUUUUGGUUAAUGGGCUGGGUUUAUUGUGUACAUGGGUUUUUCCAAUUUUUUUGAGUUGCUUGUCAUCCUUUGUGUUGGCCCGGUGAUAUAUGUUGGACCAUCCAAUUACAACCCCUUUUUUUUUUUUUUUCUUAAUGCAAUGAAAUUUACUUUUUGGACAAAAAAAAAACAAUAGUAUGAGCUCUGUGGUAAUAGUAAUGGAUAGGGUGAUUGUAAUUACCAAAAUAGACGAGGAGAAGGUGUGGCAAUUGGUUGUGCUCGAUGAACUCCUUAUAUUCGUGUCAAUUUGUAGAUUAGGGUUUGGGUUUUGAGUUCAUAUAACAUGUCAUGUGCAAAAUUAUCACUCCUUCCUGCGUACUAGAAUAUCUCAGUUUGUUACAUGAUUGGAAUUCAUUUGACAAAUUUCCUCUAAUUAAAGUGAUGGAAAAGACCAAAUUUCUCUAAUGGUCCAUCAAUCCAUGGACUCUAGUCUCAUUCAUCCUUCGUAUUAGUCCAAUCGUUAGUUAAGUUAAUUCCUUUAUCCAUUUGUGCAUAUAUUAUCAUUUGGAGCCUAAAUUCGAAGAAUUUAUCCCUCAUUUGAAAUACUGAACUAAUGAUGUAAAUGAAAUGAAAAAAAAAAACAAUUGUAUUUUGUCUUCUUUAUCUUUUUUUAUCAACUUAGUCAAUUUAUGGAUAAAAUAUGAUAAAGACCAAUAUUAGUAAGACAGUAAAUCCAUUGUUGCGCUUUCAACCAAAUCGAAGAUUGUUGAAUCAUUGGUGAAGAUUAUUCACUUUUACAUUUUGGUCGUAAAAUUUAGCUAACUUUAUUAUUAUUAAUUAAUCAUUCCUCAUGAUCAGUAGAUGUGUAUAUAAAUUCAUUUUUAUAUUUCAAUUCAUUUUUAUAUAAAUUCGUUUUCGAUUCAACGGUAUGCCAAACAGAAUCAGUAACCCCAAAAAGUUCAUUUGUGGGACCUAAAAAAACCCUCGCUCAAUAUCUUUCAUGCCAGAAGGGGACAUUGGCCCAAAUCCAAAUGGUCGUAGGUAUAUAAUUCAGUUUGCAUGCACUUAUACCGGCCUUCUUACUAGCCUGGUGGAUAAUUGUAGGUUGUGGAAGCAUUAUUCCAUUAGGUUCCAGGUUCGAAGGCUGGUAUCCGUUGAGAUGCCGACUUUGAUGAACCAUGAUUGCAUGUGUGUGUGUAUGUGCGUGCGUACGUAUAUAUACGUAUAUAUUUCAACAACAUGAGGUAUUUCAAAAUACCUCUGUUUGUUUUUGUAACAUAUUUGUAUUUUUAAAGUAAAAAUGUGAUUUUUCGUUAAAGUGAAUAGUAUCGGAAGCUAUUCCUUAAACUUUCCCUUACUAAAUCGUAAAACCUUGUUACCUCUAGAAGAUGCACAAUCGUUUAACGAAGUCUACCAAGCCUUAGAAAUUAGGUUCAACAAGUUUGCGUUACAAUAUUACCCAUAAAUUGCGCAAGCUAGCAAUUAUUCAUACUAAAAAGAGAAAAAAAAAGAGAAAGAAAUAUGAUUGAUCAUGGGCAGGAGUAAUCAAACUUCUAAUCUAUCCAUUGUUUGUUUAGGGUAAUGAGAGAUAAUAAGGACACGAUUCCAUCUCUUUAAAGCGUAAUUUCUUUAGUCCGAGAACUUCAACCUUUAGUACUACAGCUUGGACCUAUUAGUUAUGUAAACUUGCCUUGUCGUUCUUUAUUUUUCUUAUAUUUUUUGUUCAUCGCUACGUGGCUUCUUGACCCAAUCAUACAUCGUCAUGUAGAAAAAAUUUGUACACGACAAUGUAUUAUUGAACAAAAACCGAGACGUGGCAGUGAAUCUGUUUCAAAUACGUUAUUCUCCUUAAUGGUUGGACAAUAUUUUUUAGAGAAAACAUUGGUUGGUGUCAAAUUCAAAUAAUAUCAAGCUUCAAAUAAAUUGUUUUUGCAAAUCAAACACCAGCCUUCCUCCUAACCUAAUGGAAAGUGCACAACCAUGAUCCUCGUAGGGUCUGGGUUCGAAGGUUGGUAUCCUGUGAAUUUGAUGUUCUUCAUCAUGCCCCUCGGAGGAAACAUAUAUAUCAACAAUAUGAGGUAUUACAAAAUACCUCUGUUUUUUUUAAUAUACAUAUUGUUUUUCACUCCUCUAUUUUAUUUACAAAAUACCUCUGUUUUUUUAAUAUACAUAUUGUUUUUCACUCCUCUAUUUUAUUUUUUACUUAAUACUAUAGUCUAGUGAUAUUCCUCUUCACUUAUAAGUGAAAAGUCUUAGGUUCGAUUCUCGCCAAAGACAAAUUUGACACAUUAUUGCUAGCCUAUUGGGAGAUUAAGCCCACCCCUUUCCCUUUGAGUAGAUAAUAUUGUUUGUUAAAAAAAAAAAAAAAACCAUAACGCGAACCAUACCCAAUUCCAUUGAGAUAAAGAAAUACAAAGCUUAGUUAUAUGCAAUCUAUAUGAAUUAGAAGAUACAUCGUUGUAUAGGUAUAAGUAAUGGAAUUCUUUGUUGAGGAAAUCCAUUUAUCUCUGUUUCCAGACCUAUGUCCGUACAAAAUUUGAGUCGUGUAACAAUUGUCGACCUACUCUCCCCAUAUACUAAAAACAAUUUGAAUGAUUCGGUCAAUUUUGGCCCACUCCUAAAUAAACCAUUUUAUACUUAUAUUUUUAUUCAAUGAUAUAACUUAUUAUUGUAUUUUGUGUCAACAACUCAACAUUCUUAUUUAAUAACCAUUUCGUUUUUAAUUUUACUAUUCCUAGAGAUAGAGAAGAAAUAUAUUGAAGACAAAGAUAUAUAAAUGGUAGAAGAAGGAAGCUUGGAGGGAUGUUGAGCAAACACAGUGGAAUGAUAUACAAAUUCAAAAGUACAAACAAAAAUCUGGAAACAAUUCUAAAUUGCUUUCACUUUCAAUUUUUUAUUUCAUAUAUUUUUUUUUCAGUUUUUCCAAAAAAAAUAUAUAAAUGGUAGAAGAAGGAAGUAGAGAGGCUUUCACUUUGAACUUUUUAUUUCAUACAUUUUCUCGCUUCGCCCUCCUUCUCGAAACGAUGGAUAGACCCAAGUAGAGGACACAAGGACCGAUGUAUGUUUUAGUGAGGCCUACAAAAUGAGAGUAAAAAACAUGAGAACAAAAAUAGUAUCUCAUUCCAAAUAAUUUAAAAAGUGUUGCUGUCAUAUUUAGAAUAGAAAUUUGAUUAUGUAAAUCCUAGUGAAUCUAAGAAUAUCUCUUAUAUUCCUAUUAGGAGUGGAUUACCUAUUAAGAAUUGUAAUCCUAAAAGGGUAAGGAUUUUACCUAUUCUACCACUAUAAAUAAAGGCAAAAUGGGAUGAUAUAACACACACCUCACAAUUAAAUCUCUCUCUUCUCUAUCUCACUAUUGUUGGCCUCCCUCUCUCUAUUCCCUCAAAAUAGCUCAGUUAAUUAGGCCUACAACACGUUAUCAGCACGCUCUUGCCAGAAGCUAAGGAAUUGACGAAUCGUAGGAGGAUGCUAUCUUCUACAAAAUUCAAAGGCUCUUUUUUUUUUUAUGCCAAUCAAGUACGCUUAAAAUAAAGGAAGAUAUUUGAAACGACCUUGAAACAUGAAAACAUUCCCCAUGAUGCAUGAACCCCCUAUGUUUAUAUUUUCCUUCCGAUAUAUAUAUUGUAUAUGUUUCAUAUAUUUGUCAAUAAAUAUAUAUAUAUAUAAAUGUUUCAUGCAUUACGCAAUUAUAUUGCUAUGUGGAAUUGUGAGUCAAAGCAUAUAAAUAAAUUAGAAGCAUGUUACGGUUUUUCAAACCUUAGAGAAUUCAAAAAAAAAAAAAAAAAAAAAAAAGGAACUAUGCGGUACCAUCGCAUCACCACUGGCCUGAAGCCCAGUUAUGUGACGCACAUCAUGACACGGUGUCGUCUUUGACAUCUUUGGACCACACGGCAUAAGCCUUUAGGCUUGCAGUGCUGGCUCGAACACCCUAGCCUUCAGCCUGAUAAGCUCAAUAAGGCCUAAAGUCCCUUAGCCCAACCAAGAAAGCAUGUAGCCUUCUUGGCCCGUUGUCCCAUGAUUUGGCUUGCCUAUAGCAACCCUUAGCCCACUGCGUUAUGCUAUGCGCCCCGGCCCGCUUCCCGCAGACUUGUCUGCUAGGCUAAGCUUGCUCUGACCACGACCCAACUUCGACUGGGCUUCCUAGACCAAACCCGCGGCCAGCUUUUUAGCUGGGCAUGCACUCGUGUCCAAUUCUUUGGCCCAAACGCUAGCAGCUGCUACUGCUGGGCUCACCCAAAACAUUCAGCCCAAGGCCUUCAACAAUCACUGAGGCCCAAUAAGCUUGCAGUCGAACAUGUAUGGCUCUUCUCCCACAUUAUUUUGCUUCCAUGAUCGACCUCGUUUGGUCCCGAUCUAUUAAAUUAAUUAAAAGUGACCUGCAAUCCAUUAAUCUGAUAAUGAAUCCAAAAUUAUUGAUCUAAAGAUCACUUUUGGACAUUAAUGAUUCAAUAAUUUAUUUUAAUAUUUUGAAUCGUUGACAUAUUUCCAUAAUCUCAAAGCUCUCACACUUGAGUUCCUGAAGCAACUCAAAUCCACUAUACUUAAAUUAGCAUAUUGUAUUUUGUGUUUCUUGCAAGAACCUUUCCUUUAUGAACUAAUCGUUUAUAAAAAUAAAUUGAACCUGUAGUUUCAUAUUUAGUGCCUUUGAAACUCGAAGUUUUCAUUUAAAACUUACCACAUGAAACCUGUAGCUUUCAUGCAUUAAUUAAACCAAUACAUGUCUAUAGAACCCAAAUGUUCUACGAUAUAUGUCUAUGGAUUACUAUAUGACUAACCACAUUUUUGUUGUACCCUCUGUUUUAGGGACAUGUCGAACUUGAACAAGCUCAAUUUCACCGUUGUGGAAGUAUCUAGAAGAAAUUACCUGAAGUGGGUUUAAGACGUGAAGCUCCAUCUUACUGCAAAGAGUAUUAAAGCUACCAUCGAGGCACCUACCGACGACAAACCCAUCGACGAAGCUCAUAAACAUCCAUGAUGCAAUGUAGACCGAGUAUCUCGCUACGGAGGACCCACGCACCCUCUGGCUUACUUUGGCCAACUGUUCGAUCACCAAAAAGACAUCUACUUGCCUGAAGAAAGACACGACUGGCAUCAUCUUGCUUCCAAGACUUUAAGUCCGUGAAUGAAUACAACUCUGAAGUUUGUAGUAUCCGAUCACUAUUGAAGUACUGUAAAGUGGAACUAACCGAAUCAUAUCUCUUGGAGAAGACUUAUUCGACCUUCCAUGCCAUUAAUAUUGUCCUGCAACAACAAUAUAGAGCACAGAAGUUCACCAAAUUUUCGGAUUUGAUCUCUAUUUUACUUCUCGCUGAAAAGUAGAACCAGCUUUUGACGAAGAAUCAUCAAGCUCGAUCGACUAGCUCGAACGCCUCACCUGAAGCACAUGCAACCAAUUCUAGCAACUCAUUGUGAGGUUAAGCCCACCCCCUCACUCUUAGUGUAGAUAAUAUCGUUUGUUCGAAGAAAAAAAAUCAUUUGACAACUAAUUGAAUCACAUUAUUAUGCGCGUGCGAAAGACCAUUUUUAUAAUUGGCACUACGCGUCUCUUAAGAUGUUUUGAACGUGUUUAAAAAUAGAGAAAAUAAUAUUUAAUAAAAAAACUGAUUGAAUCACAUUAUUGCUAGCAUAUUGUGAGGUACUAAUUAUAAAAAAAAAUUAAAAAAAAUUGUACAAAAAGAAAUAAUUAUUUAAAAAACAUUUUUUAUAUGACAAACAUAACCCUACAUUAUUUGGUGCAUUAUUUUGGAUUGCUUUUAAACAUUUUUUUUGUUUGGGGGGCAUUUCUAUUUACUUUUUUUUGGUGAAACUUGUGAUCCAAAAAAACACAGUUCAUUGCAGUGUUGGCUUUAUAUAUAGAGAAGAGAUAAACACGUAAUAAAUUCUCAAUGAACAUGCACCUGCCACUAAAUUCAUGAAAACUUUUUUAUUUGGUACCAGAUAUGGAGUCUCCUCUUACUCAUCAUUGUAUUUACCCUCGUUACUAGACCAACUCUAAUUGGCUUGGUAUUAUUUGUGUUUAAGAUGCUAAAUAGAUAUUGUAACAGUUAACAUGGCAAAGUCGCUCUUUCAAAAUAAAAUUAUAUCCUUAUAAUUAAACUAGCUACAAUUAGAUAUUGAACUUACCAUAAUACAGAUCAUUUCGCAUUAGUUUGAAUUGGUUUUGAGAACUCUUUCUCCAAGCAAAUGGAGAUAACCAUCACUUAAAAAAAGGUUAGUUGGUGUCUUGAAAUUUUGAAACAGAUAACAUGUUUAUUUCAUUUCCACAAGCACACAAACGUAUAACUCUCUUUUGAAACGUUCCCCCCUUAGCAAUCUUUUUUUUUUUUUUUUUUUUAAAACUAGUGCCUCCAGAUCUUUUGACCGGACUAAUCACUAAAGCCCCCCCCCCCCCCCGCCGCCUGAUCCCACAACAUUUGAGAAGCAAGAAACUCUAGCAAUUGCUAGGUGGGUACCUUGAGAGGUGUCGAACCCCUUACCUCUUGGUGGCAAACCAAGGGCCUGGCCAUUAGACUAAACACUCUUAGGUCCCCCAAAGCAAUCUUUUUUAACUGAGGUUUUGUCCAACAACUAAUUAGGCUCCUCUUACGGGGCUUGGGCCUCUAAGGUAAAGUUGCCUUAUUGCUUUCAUAUUUACACAUACACACUAUAUAUAUUUUUUCUGAAAAUGUGGACUCAGUUAAAAACAAAGAAACCACAAGUGGUUCAGUGUAAAUGUGGUAGAAUUCUUAAGUAUAGUUUGUUUACUGGUUUUGGGUUUAAGGCACAAAGUUUGCAAAAACAGAAUAAUUUCAUGGUGGAAAGCUUUAGGAGGAUGUGUGCUAUUUGAUUGUGGCUAAGGGUGGACUCACAUUACUUUAGUCAUUUCGCGUCACAGUGGGAAUUAGUCAUACCCUUCUAGAGGUGAGAAUUAAAGAAAGUUGAGGUCCCACCACAAAAAAAAUUAGCCCAGUUACUGAAAAUUAAAGGCGAAUUUUCAAGCAUAAUACAUGGACAACGCAAAUCGAGUGACGUUGAGAACGUGUGGCCAUUGAGACUCACACUUGAACAACCUACUUUGAUAUCAUAACGAAAGUUAAGGUUUCACCGCAUUGGAAAUAUGAAGAGGUGCCAAACUUACUCAUAAACUCAUGUAAAGUCUCUAUUCCUUCAAUGUGAGAUUCAUUCUUAACAAAGAUGCCUUAGGCUUGGGCAAAAAAAAAAAAAAAAAAAAAAAUUAAAAUUAAAACAAAGGGCUUCUUGUUAUAAACUUUGUAUUUAAGUGUGAUUGUGUAAAUCCUAAAUUAAAUUUUAUUCUAGUUAUUCUUCCCUAUUAGAAUUUGUAUUCCUUGGAGGAGAAUGAUUUUUCUCUCACUUAUUACUAUAAAUAAAGGCACUGCGUAGGAGGAAUAACACAUUCUCUACACAGCCCUACAAACACAUAUCUCUUCCUAUUUUCUCUAUGUGCCACCGCCCCCUCUCCUCUGUUAGAUUAAAAUAAGCCACAACACUUCUUUAAUUGUUUUAUUUAUAAGAAGUUUCAUCAAAACACCGUAAGAAACGAAAAAUACAUAUCUUAAUUUCAAGCCACUCCUCUCCAAGUACAAUUAGAAGUACUUGUCUUUUUAGUUUCUUGAGAACCACCUGAUGGAAGAGACAAUUUGUAAUAGCAUCAAACAAAAAAUGAAUGAGCCAAUAUGUAAGAUUCUUUUACCCGUUUUUUCAUUGGUGCAAGCAUGAAUCAUCAACGUUGUGGGUUUGAAGGCUGGUAUCCUCAAUGUUGUGGAUAGCACUACCCUGGAAAUAUGAUCACACACACACAUACACACAACCAUGUUCAUCCUCACCAAUGAGGUAGUACAAAAUACCUCAGUUUUUUUUAAAAGGGGUUUAGAUUUUACCUUUAUCAUUAUCUUUAAUUCUCCUUCUACAUAAUGCUUCUUUUUCAACUUAGGUUUUAAUCUAACUGUACAAGAGCAUGACCUUCUAGUAAUAGUAAUGGAGUUUAGGGCGAUUGUAAUUUACAAAAAUAAAUGAGGAUGAGAAUGCUUGGAGUUGGUUGUAUCAUUUUUAUAGGGGUGUGCUAUCCACACACCCCAUUUUACUUCUCACACACCCCAUUUUACUUCUCACACACCUCUUGAUAAUUUAUGUCCGUUGAUCUUCUUCAAUUCAUCUGAUCCGACGGCCGAAAAUUAAAAAGAUGUGUGAGAAUUAAAAUGGAGUAUGUGAAUAUCACACCCCUUUUUAUAUUAUUGUAGCUUUUGGGUCAUGCAAUGGAUACUGCAUAUUAAAAUACCUAUGUUCGUUUACUUCCAUAUUUUUCUUUGUAAUUUUGUUUAUUUUUCAUAGCUAACUCUUCAAUCUAUUUGUGCAUAAAUUCCUAUUUCAAGCCCAAAAUGGAAGAAAUUAUGCCUCAUGUGAUAUAUUGGACGAACAGUGGUAAGGGAAUGGAACUAGAAAAGCAACAGUACAACAAAAAAAAGUAAGAUCGAAUUUGAAAAUGUGAGUAAAUUACAGUAACAAAUAGUACAAGUUGCUAAUUUCCAAACACUAAACCGAAGAUUCAAUACAAACACAGAGCAGGUGAAGCUUUCUCUUCGAGUGAGAGUCUUUCUCUCCUAUUGAGUCAUUCUCACCCUUUAGUGUGAGGCUUACAUACUAAAGAAAAUCAGGUGGUGCCGAUCCUAGUUUCGGCUGGGGUCGGUCGCUGUUUCCCCCUUUCUUUCUGUCUCUUCUCUGUUUUGUACUUCUACUCCUUAUUCCCCCUGUUUUUUCUCCUAAUCUAUUAUGUUCUUCUUACACAGCUGGUAUCCCUCCUGUUUGUUCAUCCAUAUUCCGAUUUUCAGCCAUGGAUACUCUUGAGAUCGUGUGCAGAGCUCCAGUGUUUGUAGCGGCUCGGGUGUUUCUAACACCACCACCUUUUCCUUGUUAUCUGCCUUUACCAGCAGUGUUGUUCGUGGGUUGCCAUGGACUUCAUCCUGAUAGUUGACUUCUUCAUAUCAAUUGCUGGCUAUCCUUUCUUUGUGGUUGUGCUCGGGAAGCUAAUCGGGGUGGGAUGCUGAAAAUGAUCUGACGAGGAACUGGACGGAUCGUGAACGGCGGUGAAUGCUAUAGAACUUUCUGGAGUCUGUAACCCCUCUUUUUGUGCAUUUUGGGCUUCAACUACUAGUUGGCCCUUUGUCUUUCUUGGCCCGUGUUUUGCUUGUUUAUGUGUUAUGUUUGGGCCUUGGGUUUGUAUUUGUGUUUGUUUUAAGUUGUAAUAAAAGUUUGCUUUUAUUAAAAAAAAAGGGGGGGGGGGAUUUAGAAGCCCAAAUGACUCGAUGCAAGUGCAACAAUGAAUGGCCCAAAUCCAAAUGGGGAAAAACUUAUAAAUUGUUUUUCUUUUACACAUGUUUGCUCUGGCUUUCUUCCUAGCCUUGUGGUUGAAUGCUCCAGCAUGGACACCCAUGGUUAUGGCUCCGAAAGCUGGUACUGGAGAUUUGAGGUGAGGAGAUCAUGAUAUUGUUAUAAAAAAUGGUUCCUGAAACUAAAUUGAAUAAGGUAUUCUAAAAUACCUGUUCUUUUCUGCAUUUUUUAAUAUUGAAAACGAUGCUUUCAUACACUUUAUACCUAAACAUUUACUCUUCGUUCUUUUUUACCUGCUCUAUCUGACAUCUGUUGUUCUUCAACCCCAAACAACCAUCAUUUGCCGCCUCCUUCCUCUACCUAUUUACUCUUCGUUCUUUUUUACCUGCUCUAUCUGACAUUCGUUGUUCUUCAACCCCAAACAACCAUCAUUUGCCGCCUCCUUCCUCUACCUAACUACCUCACAAUCCAUCUCCACCACAACCAUUUCUUGGAUCCAUAAGUUUCGAUCCAAAGGGAAACACCUGUUUCAAUAAUCACUUUCACUACUCCUCGCCCGACGGCUACUUUGCAUACCUUCAUAGUACUGGUUUGGUACUAAGGUGCUUUUAUAAAAAGUGGGUAUCAAAAAUAACUUAUUUUCAUAGUUUUAGGUGAAAAAAAAAAUCUGAAAACAUGGCAAAAAUGAGUUUAUUUUCACAGCACAGCAGAAACAGUUUUUUUUUUAAAAUCACAACAAUACCAAACCAGCCUUUCCUCAAUGUAUGAAAUUGGUUGUGGUUGUAACUCUCCUUUGCAAUUGAAGUUCUCGACCAAUUGGCACUUGUCUUCUCCAUCAUGGCUACCUUGGUGGUUGAUGGUAAGACGUUCGUGGCUGCAGUGCACAACCUUUGAAAGAUAAAGAUAAGGUUUCUAUUAUGUUUAUUUGUUUUGGUUAUUGAGGGAAUAACCAAAUACAAACAAGUUAGAUUAUGUUAAUUUGUAAUUUACACCAAUUAAAAACUCCUACUUACAUGGAAUUGCAAUUGAGGGAAUUGUUUUAUUUAUUUAUUUUGAACAUACGAUAUUAUCUACACUAAGAGGAGGGGGUGGGCUAAGCCUCAUAAUGAGUUAACAGUAAUGUUGUUCAAACUCAUCUUUGACAAGAAUCGAACCUAAGACCUCUCACUUAAAUGAUAUAUAAUGAAUAACCAUAAUUUGCCUGGGCGCUACGUCUCAGACCACUACACAACUAGCGCUUAGCGUUUUUUAGAAUCUUAAUCAAACCACUUUCAAUAAAAUUGUAGAAAAAAAAUGUUGAACCAACGAAAUUGAAAAUAAAACACCUAUAUCGAAACAUUCUUCUUUUUAUUUAUAAGACGCUUUAUCAAAACACCCUUAAUUUGAAGCCAGUCCUCUCUAAAUACAGUUAGCAGUUAGCAAGUACUUGUCUUUUUAGUUUCUUGAGAACCACCUAAUCGAAGAGAAUAUUUUAUAGCCUAGAUGACUUCAACCAAGAAAUAAAUGAGCCAUAAUCCACCUCUUUUCACUCAAAUAUAUAUUUAUUUUACCCCUGUUUCACAUUGGCCUUCUUCCUACCAUUGUGGUGAAGUGUGGAAGCAUGAAUUCUCAUUGUUGUGGGUUCGAAGGCUGGUAUCCUCAAUGGAAAUAUGAUCAUACACAAACACAAAUCCUUGCUCUUCCUAUCCAAUGAGGUAUUACAAAAUACCUCUGUUUUUUAGGGGCUUUGGAUUUUACCUUUUUACCUUUAAUUUCUCCUUGUACAUAAUGCUUCUUUUUCAACUUGAGUUUUAGUCCUAUCUCAAAAAAAAAAAUUAAAAAAAAGAAUAAAAUAAAGACCUGAGUUUUAAUUUAACUGUACAAGAGCAUGAGCUCUAGUAAUAGUAAAGGAUUUUAGGGCGAUUGUAAUUUACCGAAAUAGAUGAGGAGGCGAAUGCGUGUCAACUGGUUGGCCUCGAUGAGCUCUAUAUAUCUGUGUCAAUUUAUAUAUUACGGCAAGUUUCAGAUCAUGUAAUGUAUAUUUCAUACUAAAAUAUCUCGGUUUGUUAUGUAUAUAGUAUACUCAUUUUUUCACUUUCUUUUACUUCCAUAGUUUUCUUUGUAGUUUCAUUCAUCUUUUACAAAAUAACUCUUCUAUCUAUUUGUGCAUAUAUUCCCAUUUGAAGCCCAAAUUGGAAGAAUUUAUGCCUCAAUCGACAUAUUAGACUAACAAACAAAUAGUGCAAGUUGCCAAUUUCCAAACACAAAAUCGGAGAUUUUGAAGCCCAGAUGACUGAAACACAAGAUGCAAGUGUAACGAUGGCCAAUGGGUGGCCCAAAUCCAAAUGGUGGAAAGUGUAUAAAUCGUUUUCUUUUAAACCCUAUUUUCACAGGUUAAAUGCUCCAACAUGAACACCCACGGUUAUGGGUUCGAAAGGUGGUACUGGAGGCUCGAUGUUGAGGAGACGAGGAUAAUACUAUUUAUACGCCCAUUCUCUCAGUAUGAAAUUGUUAUCACAAAGGGUCUCUGAAAUUAUCUGAAAUUAAACAAAAUGAGGUAUUCUGAAAUAAUGCUUUCAAACUUUAAUUCUUCCUCCUAUUUAAUCAUUUCUUUCAACUGUUUGAAUUUUAAUUAUAUAUGUUUAUAUUUAAGAGGUGGUUUUGGCCUGACUACUUCAUAAGGCAUUUGGAUGACCAUUUGCAGAAAAUUACUGGAUCCACUUAUUCCUUUUUUAUUAUUCUGGUUUUGCCUUGCAUUUACGUAUCCAGUGAAGAAUUUCAUAUUUGUUUGCCUUUGAAUAAUAUAUAAAACAAAGUAAAUAGGAGGCAAAUGAGUACAUAUUCUGGUUGGUCUAGUUGUUGGUAUAUGUUUUUCUCAUCUCCUUGCUUCUAAACUGGUGGAUGUUUUUUAAAUCCAGUACUCUCAUUUGAGGGUACCCACAAAUUCAAUGACCCAAUAGUUUUUUCUUGCAUUUUUUUCAGGUAAAAGAACAUUGCAAUGAGGAUCCGCAGAGGAUUCUAUUACCAAACAUGUUAAAAUUUAACCUAGGAACUAUUACAUUGGAAAAAUUAUUCAACAAUGUACAAGAUUGACAUAACUAUGUACAAAUUUAGCCUCUUGAAAAAUUAUUCAACGAUGUACAAGAUUGACACAACGAUGUACAAAUUUAACCUCUUGAAAACAUAAUUUAUUAUAUAGUUAGGAAUUUGAUGCACUAGAUCUCAGUCAGAAUUAGCGGUGGUGGCGGGCGGUACGGCGUCGGAGGAAGGGCGUGAGAAGAAAUAAGAUGGAGGAAAAAAAGAAGAAAUAAGAGGGAGCUAAGGAGGCUGCUAGGGAGAAAGAAGAGGGAGUUCAAACUUGACAGUGAUGUGGGAGUUCAUCUCGAGCAAACUUAUUCCUAGUCUCAUGGUUAAUUGCACCAGCUUUAACAACCAUGGUGCUGGGUUCGAAGCUGGUAUUGAAGAUGACGACGACGACGACGACGAUGAUGUUAGUUUAAACUCACAAUCAAUGAAGUUGUAAGUAUCAGCACCGUUUAAGAGUGGUGGUGAGCAAAAUUAUUUCAUGUUGUAAUUGAAAUUCACUUAAGAAAAUACUUGAAAUUAAAUGAAGAAUACUUUGGUAAAUAAAACUGAUGAAUGUUUUUGUAUUUCCUAUACUCUCAUUUUAAUGUACCCCCAAAUUCAAUGACCCAAUAGGUCUCCCAACAAUUACAUUUUCAUUGUUGUUUCUCAAGUUUUUUCUUGCAUAUUUGUGCUUCUAGUUUCAAUCAAUGUAUUCAUUCUAUUUCAGUUAAUCAAAUAAGUUAAAAUUUUCUAUCUAUUUUUGUACUCAUCUUUUUAUUUGAGGAAGUAGACUAGUAAUGCAAAAUUAACCUUUGAAUAUGACCUAAAAAACCCUCACAUAGAAAUAAACGUUGGCCCAAAUCCAAAUAGUUGCACCCUUAUAAAACUUUAGUUUGCAUGCUUUAGUACCGGCCUUCUUCUUGGUGGAUAAGUGUGGAUGCGAAAGCAUUGUUCCACGAGGUUUCAGGUUCGAAGGCUGGUAUCCGUUAGGAUGGCGACUUUGAUGAAUCAUGCAUGUAUGUGUAUGUGUAUGUGUUGUGUGUGUAUAUAUAUAUGUAUGUAUGUUUCAACGAUAUGAGGUAUUUCAAAAUACCUCUGUUUUUUAUAUUUUUAUACAUAUUUAUUUUUCCCGUCUGUUUUAUGGACAUAAUUCCAUAUCUAUAAAACCUAGCUUCUUAAGUCCAAAACUUGACCUCUAGUUAUACGGCUUUGACUUAUCACUUAUGUAAACUUUUUUAUUCUCCUUAAAUUUUUUGUUCAUUGCCACCGUACCACGCAGCUUCUUAAUCCAAUCAUACAUUGUCAUCUUGAGAAAAAUUUGUACAAAAUAAUACAUUAUUGAACAAGAAAUGCGAUAUGAUAGUAAACUCGUUAAGGGUUGGAUAAUAUCUUUUAGAGAGAACCCAAAUCCAAAUAGUCGAAGGCCAUUCAUAGAAAAUGUUUUUGCAACCGGCCUUCCUCCUAACCUUAAUGCAAAGUGCACAAGCAUGAUCCCUGUAGGGUCUUCAUGGCCCCUCAGAGGAAACAUAUUAAUCAACAAUAUGAGGUAUUGCGAAAUACCUUUGUUUUUUUAUGUGCCUACUAUUUUCUCUCCUCUAUAUAUUUAAUUAACUCUAUAAAUGUUUAUAUAUUUGUUCAUUAUUAGAGAUUUUUUAAUUUUUUAUCAAAGAUUUUUAGAUUUAAAUGUCUAUAAAAAUAAUCUAUAUAAAUUUUAUUUAAAAAAAAAAUAUUUAGCCUAAUGUUUUUCUCUUACCUAGAAUUUUAACCCAGGAUCAUUGGUGAAGAAAAACUAUUUUCUGAGUUAAAACCUAAAUUUUAUGUGAUAACCCAAAGAGUGGAGAUAAUAUUAUUACCCAAAGUUUUAGUACUACUAGAGAUAGAGAAGAUAUAUUGAAGACAAAGAUAUAUACAUGGUAGAAGAAGGAAGCUUGGAGGGAUGUUGAGGAAAUGUAAUGGAAUUAUAUACAAAUUAAAAACUGCAAACCAAAGUCUGGAAACAAUUCUAAAUUGUUUUCACUUUUAACUUUUUAUUUCAUAUAUUCUCUUUUAGUUCUUCCUUCCUUCCCAUCACCAUUCUUGCUUCACUCUUCUUCGCGAAUCGAUAGAUAGAUCCAAGUAGAAGACACAAGGACCUAUGUAUGUUUUAUUGAGAAAUAAAAUUAGAGUGAAAAAUAUUGAGUACAAAAAACAUUAUCUCAUUUCAAAUAAUUUAAAAAGCAGAACAAAAGCGUAUGAGUUUUUUGUUUUUUUUUUUGUUUUUAUCACAUAUAGAUAUGCAUAGGGAAACUUAAUCACCAAAUGUAGCUACAAAUGUCAAAUUAAAAAUGAUAUACAAAUAGAACAAAAAUUGGCUGGGCCCAAACUCCACUUGUGAGGACUUAAGUUCAUUUUUGGGCAUGCAUUUACACCGGCCUUCUUCUUAGCCUAGUGGUUAAUUGUGCUAGCAUGAUUCCUCAAGGUUCUGGCUUCGAAGGCUGGUAUUUGUGAUGGUGAUGAUGAUGAAUCGAUGAAUGGAUGAGAGGUUGGUAUUUAAGAUAAUUUCUGGCAGCACGAUAUAUGAUGAACGGAGAGGAUCCUCAUUUCCUUAACCAAAUGAGGUAUUCUAAAAUACCUUUGUUUUUCUAUAUUUUCCACAUGGAAAUCUAUAUUUUCCACAUGGAAAAUGAUACGAAGACAUUGUGAAUUCCAUUUACAAAAGCAAAUUUUUAUUUGGACCCAGUUUUUUUCUUUUUCAACCCAACUUUAAUAUUUUGUUACCUAGAAUCUCUAGUAUACCCUCAUAAAUAAUAAACAUAAAUAAAUUGGAAAACAAAAACUCAUCAAACCUAUUUCCCGACUAUUCUCUCUCCUUCUGGCAAGCUCCUCCCUGUAUUUGUUGGGUCUUUCUCCCCAUAAAUAAAUUGGAAAAACAAAAACUCAUCAAACCUAUUUCCCGACUAUUCUCUCUCCUUCUGGCAAGCUCCUCCCUGUAUUUGUUGGGUCUUUCUCCCUCCCGACUAUUUAUUGUUUCCUGAUAUGCAAGAGAAGAGAGAAGGUCUGGAGUGGUGGUUGAGUGGUGGAGCUGCAUGCUAUCUUGGUUGAAUGGGUGUAGAAAGAUAUUUAAUUUUCAUUUCCUUAUUUCAUUUUGUAUAAGGGGUAAAAUAGGAAUUACAGAGAUUUAUUUUUGUAGCUAGGUGUAGAAAGAGCUUUGUUGGAUCUCAAUAUAAUUUACCUUUACAAAAGUAUCUCAUAUUUCUGGUUUCUUUUUAUUUUAAAAUUUGUCAUUAUUAAGGGGAGGGUAAACUUCGAAUACGGAAUGCAUGAGUAGAAACAAAUAUAUGUCAUGUUACAAAUGGUCAAAUUAAAAAAAUGACUAAACAAUACUGUAAUUGGUUGGGCCCAAAUACAAAGUUUAAAUUUGUGCAUGAAGUUUCCACUGGUCUUAUUCCUGGCCUUGUGUACAAGUGCUGAAGCUUGCUUCCAUUAGGUCUCAGGUUCGACGGCUGGUAUCCGUUGAGAUGGCGAGUUUGAUGAUGGUCAAGCAUGUGUAUAUGUAUGUGUGUGGUGGCAGAGAGUUGAGUUCGCUUUUGAGAUAAUUUCCUUAGCAUUUCUCAUAUAUCUCUAUACAUAAAAACAAAAUGAGGUAUUUCAAAAUACCUCUGUUUUUUUAUGAGUAAUGUUAGAGAGAUUUUUUUUUUGUUAAAAGAUAAAUUUUGUUAGAUUAUAUAGUACGGAGAUUAAACUUAUAGAUAAAAUUUUGUAAAUUAAAUAACGUGAAAGUUGAUGAUUGGAUUGUUACUCAAAUGUUAAUUAACGUGCUUAUUUCUUAUUGCUGAUAUAUUAUUUAGUUUAGAAAUUUAAUCUAGCAUACUCUUUUUUUUUAUAUAUAUAUAGUUUUCUCCCCUCUGUUUUAUUUUAUUUCGUUCCAUUUAUUAGGUUAACACCAAUUAUACUAUUUUGCAUUCUAUACUUUAUUUCUUAUGCAAUUGUAUAAUUUAUUUCGUCAAAAUAUAGUUCAAUUUAAUAUUCAUUUUUUAAUAAACUUUAAAAAUAUGCCUUACAAUACAACAAAUUUAAAUGUAUUAAUAAAAUGUGUAAAAAUAACGUAUAUUAUAUGUACAAAGUAUGUAUAUACAUGUAAUUUAACAAAUUAUUAAGAUGUAUACAAAAAAACAUAAUUAGGUGCCUUUUUUUUUUAUGAAAAACUUUCUUGUGUUAAAUGUUUGAGUAAUGUUAGGGAGACAAAAUUUGUAAACUAAAUGACAUAGAAGUUAAUGAUUGAAUUAUUACUUAAGCAUUAAUGAACGUGCUCAUUUCUUAUUGGUGAGACAUCAUUUAGUUUGUAAGUUUUGUCUACAAAUUUAGCCUUCCUAGCAUUACUCUAAAUGUUUAUUUACCCUAAUACGCAACUACGAUUAUGGACAAAAUACAUUCAACAUAAAAUAAUGUAUCUUCUUCUUCUUCAUCUUCCUUAGCAAAUAUUGGGGUUUGGUUAACAGCCUCAAUACACCUUAUGUUCAUAUAUAUAUAUAUAUAUCUCUCUCUCUCUCUCUCUCUCUCUCUCUCUCUCUCUCUCUCUCUUCUCAUAGCGUAAUUUGGUAUUUUAGGGUUUGGUUUGCAUGAAUUUGUAAUUUGAAAUUGUAAUUAAUUAGGGUUUGAUUUUAUGCUUCAUUCUUCAUCUUCUGGAUUUAGGAAAUUCCAUCCAAUUUCCAGUUUGUUGCAUUCAAUUUAUUAGUGUCAAUGGGUAACUCCCCGAGGGCACAAAGGCAGAGAAGAAAAGAAAUACAAGUACAUGGAUUGGAGUGUUGUCUUACAUAAUACCCAAUAGUAGGGGAGAGACUUGUUCCAUGUUAAUCAAACAUUCAAUACUUCUAAUACAAUUUCUAUGGGACUGUGGUGAUGAAAUUUGGUUGUGGUGUACUCCCAGUGCACGGUUGAUGUCUUUGUGUUGCGAUGUCUUCUUUGAGUUAAACACUCGGUUGUUUCUUCCAUCGCAGCUACCUUGAUCGUUGAUGGCAAGACUUUCGUGACGGCGGGGGCAAUGCUCAGCCUUGGAAGAUAGAAAUUAGAGUUUCUAUUAUGUUUGUUUUGGUUAUUGGGUUGGGUUUAUUGUGUACUUUGGAUUUUUCCAAUUUUUUGAGUUGUUUGUCAUCCUUUGUGUUGGCCCGGUGAUAUGUGUUGGUUUGUCCAAUUACAACCCUUGUUUUUUCUUAAUGCAAUGAAAUUUACUUAUUGGAUAAAAAAAAGAGUAUGAGCUCUCUAGUAAUAGUAAUGGAUAGGAUGAUUGUAAUUACCAAAAUAGAUGAGGAGAAGGCGUGGCAGUUGGUUGUGCUCGACGAAUUCCUUAUUUUCGUGUCAAUUUUUAGAAUAGGGUUUGGGUUUUGAGUUCAUAUAACGUGUCAUGUGCAAAAUUCUAACUUCUUCCUGCGUACCAGAAUACCUCAGUUUGUUGCAUGACUAGAAUUCAUUUCACAAAUUUCCUCUAAUUAAAGUGAUGGAAAAGAUCAAAUUUCUCUAAUGGUCCUUCAAUCCAUGGGCUCUAGUCUCAUUCAUCCUUCAUAUUAGUCCAAUCGUUACUUAAGUUAAUUUCUCUAUCUAUUUGAGCAUAUAUUCUCAUUUGGAGCCUAAAUUCGAAGAAUUUAUGCCUCAUUUGACAUAUUGAACUAAUGAUGUAAAUGAAAUAAAAAAGAAAACGUUUGUAUUUUAUCUUCUUUAUCUUUUUUAUGAACUUGGUCAAUUUAUGGAUAAAAUAUGCUAAAAGUAAAUCCAUUGUUAUGUUUUCAACCAAACUGAAGAUUGUUGAAUCAUUGUAAAGAUUAUUCACUUUUACUUUUUGGUUGUAAAAUUUAGCUAACUUUAUUAUAUUAAUCAUUCCUCAUGAUCAGUAGGUGUGUAUAUAAAUUCAUAUUUAUAUUUCACAAUUUUCCAAUGUCUGUUUUAAGGAGCGUACAAUAUGAGUGUUUAAAAAUAUAAUUACAAAAACGUAUCUCACUCCAUGUAAGUUAAUACACAAACCAAAAGCUUAUAAGUUCUAUUAACAUAGGAGUUAUCUCAUUACACAUUGAUGACACAUUAAUCCUCAUCUUCAUGUAGCCUCGGUACACCAUGAGACAUCAACAUAUUUUUUGCCUUUGGGUCAACAAUAUACCAAACAAAGUUAGUGGCUCCAAAAAUACAUUUGUGAGAGUUCAAACUCGAGCAAGCCUCGUGGUUAAAUGUACCAGCAUCAACAACCAUGGUACUUGGUUCAAUGCAAAAUUAACCUUUAAACACGACCUAUGAAAACCCUCGCUCAAUAUUUUCGUACUACAAGAGGACAUUGGCCCAAAUCCAAAUGGUUGCAGUUAUGUAAACUUAGUUUGUGGGGAUUUGUACCGGCCUUCUUCCUAGCCUGGUGGAUAAUUGUGGAUUGUGGGAGCAUUAUUCCAUAGGGGUGGGUUCGGUUUAAUUCGGUUCGGUUUUUUGCCAAAACCGAAACCAAACCGAAAUUUCGGUUCGGUUCGGUUCGGUUCAUUUUUUUUUCGGUUUUUUUCGGUUCGGUUUUUUUUCGGUUCGGUUUUUUUCGGUUCGGUUUCGGUUUUUUGUUUUUUUUUUCUUUCAAAAAAUGAAAAACAUUGAAAUUUUAAAUUUUAACGUAUCCAACACAAUUAUAACACAAGCAUUCUAACUAUAAUCAAAGACAAUGAAAAUAAACAUUUAAAGUUGAACUAAAAUCAUCAAUCAAGUCUUCCAAAGUCCAAACUAACAACAUCACAACACAAAAAUCGUACAAAUGACUUAGAAAAGUUAAAUUGUAUGAUGUUGUUCAAAGAUCAGGGUUGUUUGCUUGUAACUGCAUGUUGACAACUUGAUUAGUAAAAGAAAUGCGUGGGUGGAUUUAUUUAGUGUGUGUUGGAUUCUUUUCCAUCACAAAUUCCCUAAGUAAUCUACCCGAAAUAAAUGUUUAUAGAUUCUGUUACAUGUUAUAUGAGAGUAGAUUUGGAAAAGAAAGCUGAGACAAAAGUAGACAGUGCUAUGGAGAUGGAUGUAGGUACUUCAGGAUGAGGUUUGGCUCCGGAACCUUAUAUGGGGGAUAAAUAAUAGGUUAGGGUUUAAAGUUUUUAUAGGACUUUUUUUUAAUAUUUUGAGCUUAAAGUUUGGCAACACAUUGGGUUUAGCAUAUUUUAACUUACAAAUUGGGUUUAGAAAAUAAUAUCCAAAACAAAUAAUUAAAUAAAAAAAUUAAUUUAAUUAAUUCGGUUCGGUUCGGUUUGGUUCGGUUUCUAGAUAACUAAAACCGAACCGAACCAAAAGAAUUCGGUUCGGUUCGGUUUUUUCAAUUCGGUCGGUUUUUUUGUUCGGUUCGGUUUUUUCGGUUUCGGUUCGGUUUGGUUUUCGGUUUUUUUCGGUUUUCGGUUUUUUGAACCCACCCCUAUUAUUCCAUUAGGUUCCAGGUUCGAAGGCUGGUAUCCGUUGAGAUGGUGACUUUGAUGAAUCAUGAUUGCAUGUGUUGUACGUUUGUGCGUGCGUACGUAUUUAUAUGUAUAUAUUUCAACAACAUGAGGUACUUCAAAAUACCUCUGUUUUUUUUAUAAUAUUUUUUUCCCUUCUGUUUUAUUUUAUUUUAUUUACUAGGUUAACACCAAUCUAACCAAAUCACAUUUUAAUAAAACAAUAUAGAAAAGCUUGGGUAUAUGCAUCCUAUUGUUAUUUGCAUUUUAUUUACUAGGCUAUCAUUAUCUUCAUUACCUCGGUUUGGGAACGGAAGUACAAGAGAAUUAGGGCUGGUUUUGUAUUGAUGUACUUUGAAAAAAAAACUGCUUCUGCUGUGCUUUGAGAAUAAACAGCUGUGAAUAAAGUAGCAGAGUGUUUGGUAAACUUUUUUGUAAAAGUGCUUUUGGAAAAAAAAAAAAAAACAGUAUGAUAGUGGAUGUGGUAGUCUAGUGGGUUUCUGUGUUUCCAUUUCUAUUGUAGAUCGGCAAAGCCGUUUCUGGUGGGUUUCUGGGUUUUGUGGAGAUAGACAAAGGAGCACUGUUUUCUGGUUUGAGGGUGUUAUUGGACUUUUGAAAGUUUCAUUAAAGGAGCACUGUAGCUCCGCGUGUUUUGAAAAAAAAGUCAGUUUUUCAGCAGCAUUUUAGCUGCUUUAGUUUUUUUUAUGAUUUCAGCUUAUUCUCACAGCAGCUUCUAAAAUAAACCCUUUUAUUUGAGUUUACCAAACACCUUCAACAUAAAAACUUUGAAAAUAAGCAGCUUUUUUUUAAGCACCUCAAUGCCAAACCAUACCUUAGUGUUGAAUUUUUAUUAAUUAGCAAUUCUUUCAUCUAAACACAGUGUUAAUUAUUUCUUUUCAAUUAUUUGAGCUUUAGUCUAACUAUAAGAAAAGCAUGAGGUUUAGUCAUACUAAUAGGUGAUGAUGGUUGGUAAUGGGUUGUGUUCCAUAAACCCAUUCAUUUACGUGUCGAGACUUGUACUAGUGCAAAUUUCGGAUCAUGUCAUAAAUUAUCACCCUGAUCACCAUACACUAAAACCAAUUUGAAUGAUUUGGUCAAUUUUCUGUCUACUCCCAAUUAAUACAUUUUAUGCGAUGCAACUUCUUGAAAAGUAUUGUAGAUAUAACUAAAAGCUAACUCAUUUUAGGCCUUUUACUAAAUCGUAAAACCUCAUUGCCUCCAAAAGAUGCACAAUCGUUUUACAAAGUCUGCCAAGCCUUAAAAAUUAGGUUCAACAGGUUUGCGUUACAAUACUACCCAUAAAUUGCUCAAGCUAGCAAUUAUUCAUACUAAAAACGAAGGAAAAAAGAAGAAGAAAUGUGAUUGAUCAUGAGCAGGAGUAAUCCAACUUCUAAUCUAUCCAUUGUUUGUUUAGGGUAUUGAGAGACAAUAAGGACACGAUUCCAUCUCUUUAAAGCCUAAUUUCUUUCGUCUGAGAACUUCAACCUCUAGUACUAUAGCUUGGACCUAUCGCUUAUGUAAACUUGCCUUGUCGCUUUUUAUUUUCCUUAUAUUUUUUGUUCAUCACCAUGUGGCUUUUUGACCCAAUCAUACAUUGUCAUGUAGAAACAAAUUUGUACACGGCAAUGCAUUAUUGGACAAGAACCGCGACGCGGCAGCGAACCCAUUUCAAAUACGUUAUUCUCCCUAAUGGUUGGACAAUAUUUUUCAGAGAAAACAUUGGUUGGGGUCAAAUCCAAAUAGUAGCAAGCUUCAAAUAAAUUGUUUUUGCAAAUCAACCACCGGCCUUCCUCCUAACCUAAUGGAAAGUGCAAAAUCAUGAUCCUCGUAGGGUCUGGGUUCAAGGGUUGGUAUCCUGUGAAUUCGAUGCUCUUCAUCAUGCCUGUUCAAAAAAAAAAAAAAAAAAAAAAAAA